GUCUUCUGGCAGAUUUCCAACAGUUGGCAGAUCUGUGCCAGCCAAUACAGGCUGGAAGUCUUCUGGCAGAUUUUCCAACAGAAACCUUUGCCCCUGUUGCCAGAUUAGAAUCCACAAGAAUGAUGCUGUCAUUUGCAUGCUCACUGGGUGUCAAGGUAUAUCAAAUGGAUGAAAAGUCAGCACUCUUAAAUGGAGAUUUUCAUGAAGUGGUGUAUGUUGUGCAACCAGAAGGUUUUGUCCUUGGAAAUCAUCCUUCUCAUGUUUACGAAUUGAAGAAAGCUCUAUAUGGCCUCAAGCACGCACCAAGGGCCUGAUCUUUUCAGAAACUUUGAGAGACAAAUUGUUAUCAUUCUUUGAAAGAUUAAAUUGACACUCUCAGAAAGAUCAAUAGAAGAUUGAGGAAGCUUUCCAAAUCACAAAACCCUCAUUCAAAUGGCGGUGCUCUGUACUGCAACUAUAAAUUGUUCUGCAAGUUCAAUCUUCAAGAGCAAGACUUCUCUUCAUCAAAUGAAGCUGCUCAUACAUCAGAACAUUGAAUACUGUUGAUAUCUCUUUUUGUAUCUUAUAAUUGCUGUUUAGUGGGUGAGACUCGGUGAUAUUUGUACAGUACCAACCAGUACUCUGUAGUGAAUGUUGUGAGUGUACUGUUAGGUGCCAUCUUUGAUUGUAAUGGUGAAUCGCUAGUUGAACUACUGUCGUUUAGAAUAAAGGAAUUAAAGAGAGUUGAGUGUCCUUUA